rnacentral:rRNA from 1 species
GAGUUUGAUCAUGGCUCAGAUUGAACGCUGGCGGCAUGCCUUACACAUGCAAGUCGAACGGCAGCACGGGUGCUUGCACCUGGUGGCGAGUGGCGAACGGGUGAGUAAUACAUCGGAACAUGUCCUGUAGUGGGGGAUAGCCCGGCGAAAGCCGGAUUAAUACCGCAUACGAUCUACGGAUGAAAGCGGGGGACCUUCGGGCCUCGCGCUAUAGGGUUGGCCGAUGGCUGAUUAGCUAGUUGGUGGGGUAAAGGCCUACCAAGGCGACGAUCAGUAGCUGGUCUGAGAGGACGACCAGCCACACUGGGACUGAGACACGGCCCAGACUCCUACGGGAGGCAGCAGUGGGGAAUUUUGGACAAUGGGCGAAAGCCUGAUCCAGCAAUGCCGCGUGUGUGAAGAAGGCCUUCGGGUUGUAAAGCACUUUUGUCCGGAAAGAAAUCCUUGGCUCUAAUACAGUCGGGGGAUGACGGUACCGGAAGAAUAAGCACCGGCUAACUACGUGCCAGCAGCCGCGGUAAUACGUAGGGUGCGAGCGUUAAUCGGAAUUACUGGGCGUAAAGCGUGCGCAGGCGGUUUGCUAAGACCGAUGUGAAAUCCCCGGGCUCAACCUGGGAACUGCAUUGGUGACUGGCAGGCUAGAGUAUGGCAGAGGGGGGUAGAAUUCCACGUGUAGCAGUGAAAUGCGUAGAGAUGUGGAGGAAUACCGAUGGCGAAGGCAGCCCCCUGGGCCAAUACUGACGCUCAUGCACGAAAGCGUGGGGAGCAAACAGGAUUAGAUACCCUGGUAGUCCACGCCCUAAACGAUGUCAACUAGUUGUUGGGGAUUCAUUUCCUUAGUAACGUAGCUAACGCGUGAAGUUGACCGCCUGGGGAGUACGGUCGCAAGAUUAAAACUCAAAGGAAUUGACGGGGACCCGCACAAGCGGUGGAUGAUGUGGAUUAAUUCGAUGCAACGCGAAAAACCUUACCUACCCUUGACAUGGUCGGAAUCCCGCUGAGAGGUGGGAGUGCUCGAAAGAGAACCGGCGCACAGGUGCUGCAUGGCUGUCGUCAGCUCGUGUCGUGAGAUGUUGGGUUAAGUCCCGCAACGAGCGCAACCCUUGUCCUUAGUUGCUACGCAAGAGCACUCUAAGGAGACUGCCGGUGACAAACCGGAGGAGGGUGGGGAUGACGUCAAGUCCUCAUGGCCCUUAUGGGUAGGGCUUCACACGUCAUACAAUGGUCGGAACGGAGGGUUGCCAACCCGCGAGGGGGAGCUAAUCCCAGAAAACCGAUCGUAGUCCGGAUUGCACUCUGCAACUCGAGUGCAUGAAGCCGGAAUCGCUAGUAAUCGCGGAUCAGCAUGCCGCGGUGAAUACGU